UGGGGAAUAUUGGACAAUGGGCGCAAGCCUGAUCCAGCCAUGCCGCGUGAGUGACGAAGGUCUUCGGAUUGUAAAGCUCUUUCGUCGGGGACGAUAAUGACGGUACCCGAAGAAGAAGCUCCGGCUAACUUCGUGCCAGCAGCCGCGGUAAUACGAAGGGAGCUAGCGUUGUUCGGAAUCACUGGGCGUAAAGCGCACGUAGGCGGAUAGUUAAGUCAGGGGUGAAAUCCUGGGGCUCAACCCCAGAACUGCCUUUGAUACUGGCUGUCUCGAGGUCGAGAGAGGUUGGUGGAAUUCCUAGUGUAGAGGUGAAAUUCGUAGAUAUUAGGAAGAACACCAGUGGCGAAGGCGGCCAACUGGCUCGAUACUGACGCUGAGGUGCGAAAGCGUGGGGAGCAAACAGGAUUAGAUACCCCCGUAGUCCCUGAGCGGGCUGGCAAGGCGCAU
rnacentral:rRNA from 1 species